AUCAGCUAGCAAGUAUUCACAGGCACAUCCAACCUCCAUCCUUACAUUCCACAAGGAUUUGAGUGUCUGUUAUAGGUAUAAAAGCCUGCCGUUGGUGGAAAAGGAAAAGGUGGUCCAGUUAGACAAGAUGCCACCGGCUUCUGAAACCAGACAUCUUUGAAAACCCACCCAUCUACCUGCAGGAAAAGGCAAGGGACCUGACCUCGCCUGGGCUCAGGGAAGAGGUUGCUGGGAUCAUAACCCCAGGAAGAGACGGGAUGGAAGGAGAGCAUGCAGGGAGCAGAGGACAGGCUACUCUCCAAGGAGGAGAGGGAAGAGGCCACAGAAAUGGAAAAGGGGCCAGGACAAGUCAGUGGAGAGAUGGUCAGGGCCUGGCGAGGAGGAGCAGGACAAAAGCGGUGGAGCUCAGCCCCGUGGCGGCAGGGCCACUCCCAUUCAUCUGGUCCUCUACUUCUGAAGUUCUCGAAUGCAGAAUGAGAUGUACAGAUGGGCCAGCAGGUGAUAUGCUAUCUGUCAUAGGUUAAGGCCUCAUUAUUUUAUUCAUUUUUAAACUUUUUUUUUUUUGAGACAGGGUCUUGUUCUGUCGCCCAGGCUGGUUUGCAGUGGUGCCACCAUGGUUCACUGUAACCUUGAAGCCCCUGGGCUCAAGUGAUCCUCCUGCCUCAGCCUCCAGAGUAACGAGGACUACAGGUGCACACCGCCAUGCCCAGCUAAUUUCUUAACGUUUUGUAGAGAAAGGCUCUCACUGUGUUGCCCAGGCUGGUCUUGAACUCCUUGACUCAAGCAAUCCUCCUGUCUUGGCUUCCCAAAGUGUUGGGAUUACAGGUGUGAGCCACUGCUCCCAGCCACAAGUUUUAUUUUAAAUGUUUACCUUUCAAUGAUCACUUCGAGGAGAUUUAAGCUUACUCUUUCUUUUUUUUUUUUCUUGAGAUGGAGUCUUGCUGUGUCGUCCAGGCUGGAGUGCAGUGGUGCUAUCUUGGCUCACUGCAACCUCUGCUUCCCAGGUUCAAGUGAUUCUCCUACCUCAGCCUCCCGAGUAGCUGAGACUACAGGCAUGUGCCACCACUCCCUACUAAUUUUUGUAUUUUUAGUAGAGUCGGGGUUUCACCAUGUUAGCCAGGUUGGUCUCGAACUCCUGACCUAAAGUGAUCUGCCUGCCUCAGCCUCCCAAAGUGCUGGGAGGCAUGAGCCACCAUGCCUGGCUCAUUGUCUAGUUUUUACCAAGAAGAUGAUGAGAUAUGCCAGAGGGCUCCGUAUCUGCUAUGAGAACGUCCCCCAAGAGCAGCUGGCCGUGGUGCUGCAGCUGGAGCUGUGCUUGGAGCUCUUCUUCACCCCCAUGGCGGUCACCACCUUCUGCCACUGGCACUUUGUGCAGAUCAUGCUCUCUGGCCCCAAGUGGGGACCUGGAGGUGCUGAAGAGCCAAGAGACUGGCUGCCGUGACCCUCUUCAACUUCCUGGUCUGCUUGGACCCUGUGCUUUGUCUCCCAUGGUGGGUUCCCCCAGUGGAAGAGUCAAAUUGGUGGGCAGGCGCAGUGUUGUUCAGUGCUCUCGAUGCUGCAUUGACCCCUUGAUUUUCUUUGUUUUUGUUUUUAUUUUGUUUUGUUUUGUUUUUGAGAUGGAGUCUUGCUCUGUCACCCAGGCUGGAGUGCAGUGGUGUGAUGAUCUUGGCUCACUGCAACCUCCGCCUCCUGGGUUCUCCUGCCUCAGCCUCCCGGGUAGCUGGGAUUACAGGCACCCACCACCACACCCGGCUAAUUUUUGUAUUUUUAGUAGAGACGAGGUUUCAACCCCUACUCAGGCUGGUGUCAAACUCCUGACCGCAAGUGAUCUGCCCACCUUGGCCUCCCAAAGUGUUGCAAUUACAGGCGUGAGCCACCAUGCCCAGCCUAACCCCUUGAUUUUCUGUUUCUCUUCCUCCACCGUGCGCAAAGCCUUUGACAGAGGGCCACGGAGGUGGCAGCACGGCGGGGGUCUCACUGUCUGGGUGGUGGUGAAAGCUCUGGAGAGCCAGCUGCAGAGAGAAGAUGUGGAUCUUAGGGACGGCCAAUGUCACCUUCACAGGAGAUUAGAGGCGCCAGCUUGGGGUAACCUUUUGGGGAAGGAGGGCUCAAAAAGAGGAACAAUGAAACAGAACUAAGGUGAGUUCUCCUGUGCCCAGUUUCAGAGGUCAAGGAGAGUAGUAGAUAGCUCAAACCCAACUCAGCCAUUGAGUGAGUGUUUUCAUUUUGUUCCUUGGGGUCUAUGAUAUUUUCUAUUUUCUUUUCUUUCCUUUUGUUUUGGUUUGUUUGUUUGUUUGGUUGGUUGGUUGGUUGGUUGGUUUUAGAGACAGGGUUUCCCUCUGUCACCCAGGCUGGAAUGCAGUAGUGUGAUCACAUCACACUGCAGCUUCUAACUCAUGGGUUCAAGCCAUCCUCCUGCCUCAGCCUCCUGAGUAGCUGGGACUCCAGGUGCACGCCACCAUGGCCGGCUAAUUGUUUAUUUUUUAUAGAGACAGGGUUUCACUAUGUUGGCCAGGAUGUUCAACAACUUCUGCCUUCAAGCGAUCUUCCCUCCUGGGCCUCCCCAAGUGCUGAGUUUACAAGCAUCAGCCACCACACCCAGCCUAUGACAUUUUCUUCAUUAUGGCUGGUACUGCCUCAUGAAAAGGGGGUUCCUCAUGCUGGAUCUGAACAACCCAGCACAGGCAAGUCUGGGGAGCAAGGCAGGAGCCUGCAUGUGGACUCAAAGGACCGGCACCCGAAACAAAGCAGUGGCUGGCACAGGUGGACAAACCAGGCAAGAAAAGCAACUGUCCUUCGGAGCAGAGUCCACGUGAUGGGAAGAAACAGACACAGUCUCACUCUGUUGCCCAGGCUGAAGUCAACGGCAUGAUCUCAGCUCACUGCAACCUCCACCUCCUGGGUUCAAGCAAUUCUCGUGCCUCAGCCUCCCAAGUAGCUUGGAUUACAGUAAAAGCUGCCAAGGUCCUCUUCAACGUGAUGGCGUAAAUCCAGCUCUUUCUGCAAGAAGGCUCACCAGCCUUCCCACCAGCUCUUCUCCCCACCCCAGCCCUGCAGCCCUGCAGCCUGACCCUAGGUAAUGAGUGGUGGGGAGUGACCCAGGCAUGCACGACCUGCCCAGAGGAAAGGGAGUUCAAAGAAGGACCCGAGACCCUCACAGGAACCUAGCAGAUUGGCACAAGUGCCAGAUGUAUCCAGGACAGACACUUUCCCCAGGACUCCAGGGGUAAAGGAGUGCCCCACCUCUCCACUCCUUGCCUUUCUUAACUGAAUUCAGAUUGUCGUGAACAUUCAAGAAAAGCAUUGUGGCUG
ensembl:lncRNA LINC01531 long intergenic non-protein coding RNA 1531